rnacentral:rRNA from 1 species
UACGAAGGGGGCUAGCGUUGUUCGGAAUUACUGGGCGUAAAGCGCACGCAGGCGGAUUUAUAAGUCAGGGGUGAAAUCCCGGGGCUCAACCUCGGAAUUGCCCUUGAUACUGUCUAUCUUGAGUCCGGGAGAGGUGAGUGGAAUUCCUAGUGUAGAGGUGAAAUUCGUAGAUAUUAGGAAGAACACCAGUGGCGAAGGCGGCUCACUGGCCCGGUACUGACUCUCAUGUUCGAAAGCGUGGGGAGCAAACAGG